rnacentral:rRNA from 1 species
GACGAACGCUGGCGGCGUGCUUAACACAUGCAAGUCGAACGAUGAAGCCGGAGCUUGCUCUGGUGAAUUAGUGGCGAACGGGUGAGUAACACGUGAGUAACCUGCCCUUGACUCUGGGAUAACUGCUAGAAAUGGUAGCUAAUACCGGAUACGACCCUCGGAGGCAUCUUCAGGGGGUGGAAAGAAUUUCGGUCAAGGAUGGACUCGCGGCCUAUCAGCUAGUUGGUGAGGUAAUGGCUCACCAAGGCGACGACGGGUAGCCGGCCCGAGAGGGUGACCGGCCACACGGGGACUGAGACAGUGCCCAGGCUCCUACGGGAGGCAGCAGUGGGGAAUAUUGCACAAUGGGCGCAAGCCUGAUGCAGCAACGCCGCGUGAGGGAUGACGGCCUUCGGGUUGUAAACCUCUUUUAGUAGGGAAGAAGCGAAAGUGACGGUACCUGCAGAAAAAGCACCGGCUAACUACGUGCCAGCAGCCGCCGUAA